GAACCUUGAGGACGGAACGGGCAGCCGUCGCCCCUUAUGGGUAGGAGAUGCGGGAAGGUCACCCGCCGGGUUUC
rnacentral:ncRNA from 1 species